rnacentral:rRNA from 1 species
CACGUAGGGUGCGAGCGUUGUCCGGAAUUAUUGGGCGUAAAGAGCUCGUAGGCGGCGUGUCGCGUCGGCCGUGAAAACCUGUGGCUUAACUAUGGGCUUGCGGUCGAUACGGGCAUCACUGGAGUUCGGCAGGGGAGACUGGAAUUCCUGGUGUAGCGGUGAAAUGCGCAGAUAUCAGGAGGAACACCGGUGGCGAAGGCGGGUCUCUGGGCCGAUACUGACGCUGAGGAGCGAAAGCGUGGGGAGCGAACAGG